UGUUCCCACCACAGCCUUCCUCAGCCACCCAGCCCUGCCUCCGGCCCCUCUCUGCCUCCGCUGCCCUCAGCUCUGCCCCUCAGAAGUACUCUGCCUGUCCCUCAGCCCCUCCAGCCCCCCUCCAACGUCACUUGCCCCUGUGGCCUCUCCCGACCACCCACCCAAGCAGACCCAUGUGCACACACUCACAUGCACACACACGUGCCUUGGGAAAGGAGCUGGCCCAGUAAACGAGCGCAGGAUGCACAAGUGGGGGGAAGGGAUCUCUGUGCUCGCACGUCCCUCCCACUGGCCGGAGGCACACGUCGCCUUGUGAGGGAAAGGCCCCAGAACGGGGUCACGGCAGCCAGCGCGCCUGAGUCACUGGGUUAUUCCUGGCCACGGAGGACAUCCGAGGCAGGAGUGGGCCCAGCGAGAAAGGCCUGAGAGCCCAGAGGCCAACUGACCACCCAGGGACUUGGUGAGGCCCCUGUCCUACAGGGAGGACAGCCUGGAGGGAGCAGGGAAGGGGCUUCAGGGCAGGGGAGGGGGUUCCAGAAGUCAGAUGGGGCGGACCAGGGGUCAGGAACAGGCCCCCUAGACAGUGCAUGGAGACCAGAGGCGGAGGCCCAGCCUGGUCUUUGGAGGGAACUCCACCAAGGUCCGGCUCCAGUCCGGGACACCCUUGGACAGAGACGUGAAGCCUGGUACCUGCCCCUGCCCCAGCACCCACAUGAUGCGGCAGCAAGGCCCUCCCUGGGCCUCAACCGCACAGAUGACGGGGUGUGACCAUGAACCAGGAGCCAGAGCUGGCCCUCUCUCCAUCAUCCAUGCUGCCCAGCCCGGACAGGGAAGGCCACUGAGGUGCCCCGCUGCCUCCAGACUCCAGGGCGCCCCGGAGAUCCCAAGUGCCCCUGGUGGUGGGCUCUGGCCCAGGAGUGGUCAGACCAGGGAGCUCACGAUGGCUGGGCUCCCCUCCGCACAGGGAGGCCACGGGAAGUAGUGUCACACCAGAAACCGGGCUUUCCUUCAUCUCGGCUCUCCCUAACUGGACGACUUCCACAGGUCACCUCGCUUCUCUGAGCCUUGAUCACCUCCCUGUAAGACGAGGCGGACGUACUGACAUCCCAGGGUUGGGCACAACGAGGAGCAGACACAGAGCGGGCCUGGGUCUGCGCUAACCCCGAGGCUGUCAUCGUCCUUCCCAGGCGAGUCCUGCUCCGGGCCAGCUCUCGGCCUCGAACCCCCUUGCUGGUCGCGCGCCUCGCCGUUUCCCCUGGGUCUGAAGGUCUCACCCCUGAACCGUUGUUGAUUCUGCAAAAUCGCCUUCCUCCCUCACCACAGAACUUGUCCACCUGCUCUGUGGCCACCUCUACCCCUGCCCCAGCCUGGACAGUCUCCAGAACCUUCUGCUCCUCACCAGUGUCAUGUGCCUGGCAACUUCUGUGGUCACCAGGGGCCCAGAGCAGGGCUGGCAGGGGUGGGGCCCCUCUGGUUCUGUCCCUGGGCCUCUUACACUCUGGAGGCCAGGCCAGGCAGGAGGGACCUGGGGGAGGGCUGCUGGGGGAGGGUGCUGGGGAGGCUGGGUGGGCCCUCCGAGGUCAGUCCAUCUAUUUUUAUACCCCUUCCCAAAAGGGGUGGGGCUGGCCAGCCCUGUGGCGGGUCACUCAGCAGGGCUGUGAUCCCAGAGACUCUGGUGUCUUUGGUGUCACAGGCUGAGGAUGCUCUGAGGCCAGCAGUCCCCAGAGGGGCCCCAGCCAGCUCCCUCAGACCUUCUUCAGGGGAGGACCCUUUGCCACCAGAAUCCAGAAGCCGCAGGCACUGCCCUCCCGAGCUCCGCAUUGUGAAGUGGGCAGAGUGGCCUGUGUGGUGGCCCACACCUGUUGUCCUGCCCCCUAGGAGGCCAGGCAAGAGGUAGGUUUGAUGGGCAGCAUAGGGAGGCCCUGUCUCAAAGAAACAAACUGGAAAAAAACAGGAUAGAGUGGCUCAGGCUAUUGCGAGGGUUGGGGGACUGGGGUCCCCGGGAGGCCUCACCCACAUGAGGUUAGCAUGGGGCUCUCCCAGGGCAGGGUGGGCUCUCGGACCACCAGGGCUGGGUCCUGGGGGACAGAAGCUCCGAAGGAGCCAGGUCCAGAGGCUCCGCCCUCAGGCCUUUUCUAAGAGCAAGGGCAGGGCCCCUGAGCAUGACCACCUCAGCCUGGCCCCACUGGGAGUGAGAUCCCUGUGUCCAUGGGAGGCCCGGGCAGCGUGGCUGGGCUGUUUCUGCAGCCACAGGUCCAUGGGGAGUCGGAUGGAGAGUCCUAACCUUCCCAUAAGAACACGGAUCUGCCGAGAAGCAGGCCUCCGGCUGGGUCCUGGUCCAGGUCGUGCGGCAGGGGCGUGGCCACCAGCAGGGUGGUGGAUCAGGUGCACAGACCACACGUGGCCCAGGGCAGUGGCCCCAAGGUUUGACACCCCAGAUCUGGCUGCUUCUGCUGCUGCCCUGGGGGCUCAACUCCACAGAAGAGAGGCCUCGGCGAGGACACAGCCCUCCCAGGGCAGCAGGUAUCCUGGGACCCUGGAGGCUGGGGAGUAAGAACCCAGUGCUGGUCCCCCAACUCAGACACCCUGAGGAGUCACCCUCCUGCAGAACCCACUGGGUGGACAGAGUCCUCUGCCGGUCCUGCCUGCUCCUCCUCCCUCAGGUGUGAUCCCAGGCGCCGGGCUCCUGGCCCUGCACCCCCCUUGGUGUCUGCAGUGGGGACAUCCACCCCCCAAAGAGCAGCAGGGCCUCACAGCGUGACCCAGCUCGCUCCGUCCUUAGAACUGACGCAGACUCCGGCCUCCGUCUCUCCAGCAGCACGAUCAGCCCCCAGAAUUCCUGAAUAGCAGCCCCAAAGUUCACGCCCAGCAAACCUCAGAAAGGAGGAAACGGGGUCUUUGCAGGCGUGGCUAUUGGAGGACCCUGAGACGAGGCCAGCUGGAUCUCCAGGGUGGACCCUAAACCUGGUGUCCUCGCAGGAUGGGAGUGGACACAGGGACAUGUGGGGAGGACCCAUGCUGGGGGAGGCAGAGAUGGGGCUCACGUCUGGGAGUGAAGUCAUGGGGUGCCAAGGCUUGCUCUUGCCUCCAGCCCCCAGGGGGCCCCAGGAAACCCACAGGAGGACCUGCACUUUAGGCCCCCAGAGCCCCGGGACUGUGCCCUCCUGCGUCCUGCUGUGGUCACUCGUUUAUUUGUUUUGCGGUACUGGGGACUGAACCCUGGUGCUCUGCCACCAAGCAACAUCUGCAGUCAAUUUGAUUUUAAAUUUUCUUCUUUUUUUAAAAAAAUAUUUUUUAGUUGUAGUCGACAUAAUACCUUUAUUAUAUGUGGUGCUGAGGACUGAACCCAGGGCCUCGCACGUGCUAGACGAGCGCUUUAUCGCUGAGCCCCAGCCCCAGCCCCGUCAAUUAGUUUUUUAUUGUGAGACAGGAUCUCUCUAAGUUGCUGAGGCUGGCCUCAAGCUUGCAAUCCUCCUGCCUCAGCCUCCCCAAUCACUGGGCUUGUAGGCGGGGCCAACGUGCCUGGCCCCGUUCUGCAGUUUUAAGCUUCCUAGUUUAUGGGAACUGGUGCAAUUUCAGAGCAAAAAAAGACCAAAGGUGUAAAGGUGCUCUCUGUCCCAUUGCAGCCCGGCCUCCCCAGCUGUGCUGUCUGGUGCAGAGCUGCCCUUGAUGUGUCAGGAGAGGCAGGGGGCGGUGCUGUCAGGGCAGGAGGGGAAGGGUCUCGCCCUGCUAUGGGGUGGAUUAUAUCCUGAAGGGCUUGGGAGUCCAGCAGGAGAGAAAGGGGGUGGGUUUGGGUUCUAGGAAGAGCGCCCCGUUACCAGGCGUUUGCUGGAGUGAAGUGUGGGAAGGGACCAGUCACUAAUGGGGACUAGUUGUCCUCGGUUUUAGCACUGAGCUCCCCACCCUGAGGGGCCGCUGGGCUGCGGGUGACGCCAGGGGAGGCGCUGAGGACCCAGGCCUGUGGACUCCCAGACAGGGGACAAACACCAACACCAGGGCAAGGGCCAGGCACAGCAAGGAAUGCCACAGCGUGGCCCAUUUAAAAGGCUCAUUUUCUGAGACAAGUCACCUGGGGCUGGGGGUGUGGCUCGGGGGUACAGCGCUGGCCUAGCAUGACGAAGCCCUGGUUGCACCUCAGUGCCGCGAAAAUGGGGGUCAAAUUAGAGAGAAACUAAAAAGGCACAGGAAGUCUGAAAAGAGGCCACAGAGUGACUGGGCUGACAAACCCCCUCGGCCAGGUGGUCGAGUCCGUCCACAGCCAGGUACGCACGCUCUGCCCCCAUGGUUGUCCUCAGAGCACAGUCAGCCGUCACUCACAGGGGCACCCUCUGCAGAACCCCUAGCCAGGCUCCUUAGGGUCUCCAGGAUCUCUGGGAGCAGUGGCCCACGCCUGCAAUCCCAGGGGCUCAGGAGGCUGAGGCAGGAGGACCACGAGUUCAAAGCCAGCCUCAGCAAAAACAAGGCACUGAGCCACUAGUGAGACCCUGUUUUCUACAUAAAAUACAAAAUAGGGCUGGGAUGUGGUUCAGUGGUCGAGUGCCCCUGAGUUUAAUCCCUGGUAUCAGCCCCCCCCCCCAAAAAAAAAUAAAACAAAAACAAAACAAAAAAACUUCCAGGGUCAUUGAAAGGCUGAGAAGCUGUCAAGGUCAAGAGGAGCCCAAGGAGACAUGGGGACCAAUUGUCAUGUGGGAUCCUGGGCAGGAAGAGGACAUUAGGGAGAACGGGGAAAUCUGCUUCAAGCACAGAGUUCCGGGUGUCAAUGCUGGUUCACUCACUGUGAGAAAUGUCCACACCCGUGUCAAUGUAGGGGACACUGGCCAUGGGCACCUGGAGCUCUCCGUGCAGCCACACAGCUUCUCUGCAAGUCUAAGACUCCUCUAGCCUCCAAAGUUUAUUAAAAAGAAGAAGAUCAUUCAAAGAACACAAAUAGUUUACAAAGAAGAAAUAAAAGUUGUUCAGUGAACGUCUGACAAAUCCUCAAUCUUAAGGAUAAUCAGACAAAAUUAAAAGCCCCAAUGAGCUGUAUUUUCCCAUUGGCAAAAGUUUGCCUGGUUGGUUUGCUUCGUUUUGUUCUGCGGUGCUGGGGAGGGACCUGGCCUUGUGCGCGCCGGGCGAGCCCUCCACGCUGAGCGCACCUCAGGCUGGUGGAUUUACCCCUGUGGUGAGGGGGGCCUGUUGGUCAGUUCCUCUGCAGCCCAGACUGACAAAGGAAAUACUGGGUCCCUGGUCCCCACAGAGGUGCUAGAACCCCAGGACCAAGCAUGUGUCACCGCGAG
rnacentral:lncRNA from 1 species